rnacentral:rRNA from 1 species
CCCUACGGGGGGCAGCAGUGAGGAAUAUUGGUCAAUGGGCGGGAGCCUGAACCAGCCAAGCCGCGUGAGGGAAGAAGGUACAGCGUAUCGUAAACCUCUUUUGUCAGGGAAUAAAGGCGGGGACUAGUCCCCGGAUGAGGGUACCUGAAGAAAAAGCAUCGGCUAACUCCGUGCCAGCAGCCGCGGUAAUACGGAGGAUGCGAGCGUUAUCCGGAUUUAUUGGGUUUAAAGGGUGCGCAGGCGGCCUGUUAAGUCAGCGGUAAAAGCCCGGGGCUCAACCCCGGCAAGCCGGUGAAACUGGCGGG